CAUUACUGAAGCAAAUUGGGAAAAGGGAUGUUGCUGGCCUCCCUCGGGAGGCAGCGUGCACUCCCCUUUCCCCUUAAGCAUUCACAUAAAAAUUUCCAUCACACAAAACCGUGCACUUACCUGUAGGGAAUUCUCAGAGGCAUCUUCGGGUCCUCUUGGCUUCCCUAUGUCAUUUCAUGUCACACGAGUUCUCUGAGAAUGUAUCUGUCAAAGGAAAAGUAAUCACAGAACAACUUUCAACAACGGAUCUCUUGGCUCUCGCAUCGAUGAAGAACGCAGCGAAAUGCGAUACGUAAUGUGAAUUGCAGAAUUCCGUGAAUCAUUGAAUCUUUGAACGCAUCUUGCGCCUCUUGGUAUUCCGAGGGGCAUGCCUGUUUGAGUGUCAUUAGAACUAUCAAAAAACAAUGGUUUCGAUCAUUAUUUUUUGGAAUUGGAGGUGGUGCCCUGGGUCUUUUGAGAAAAAGACUCCCCGAGCUCCUCUGAAAUGCAUUAGCGAAAUGCAGUGCACUUUCUUCUCCUUGGGGCAUUGAUAAGUUACUUUCAUGUCCUAAGCUGCGGGGAGGAAGUCACAGAAUGCUUUCUUGCUCCUGAACGUGUAAAUCUUGACAACCAAAGCCCUCAAAUCAGGCAGGACUACCC
rnacentral:rRNA from 1 species